rnacentral:rRNA from 1 species
CCUACGGGUGGCAGCAGUGGGGAAUAUUGCACAAUGGGGGGAACCCUGAUGCAGCGACGCCGCGUGGGUGAUGGAGUACUUCGGUACGUAAAGCCCUUUCAGCAGGAAAGAAAAUGACGGUUCCUGACUAAGAAGCCCCGGCUAACUACGUGCCAGCAGCCGCGGUAAUACGUAGGGGGCAAGCGUUAUCCGGAUUGACUGGGGGUAAAGGGAGCGUAGACGGCAGUGAAAGUCAGAAGUGAACGCCCGGGGCUCAACCCUGGGACUGCACUGGAAACUGGAAGGCUGGAGUGCGGGCGGGGCAGGCGGAAGUCAUGGUGUAGCGGUGAAAUGCGUAGAUAUCAGGAGGAACACCGGCGGCGAAGG